GGGCAGAGGAGUCGAGUCUGUAGUCCGUACAAAAUUCCAACAGUGCAUUCCUUAGAUUCAACAAAACAAAACAAAAAUGGAAUGGAAUGAAGUGAAAAUGAUCUCAUUCUCACUCACUUUUCUCUCUUUUUGUCUCUAUCAGAUUCAAUAAUUGUUAAUAAUAUUUAUUUACAGAGGGCUGUUUGUUUGUAUUUUUUGCGUUUCUGCGUAAAAGAGACAGAAAUAUGUCGGACGACAAGAAGUACGUUGAGCACUGUAAAGACAAGAAUGGCAUGGAUAAGGUCAUUUUGCGUGAGGCUCGUGGCUGUUCUGCUGAGGUAUACUUGUAUGGAGGUCAAGUCACAUCUUGGAAGAAUGAACAUGGGGAAGAAUUGCUUUUUGCUAGUAGCAAGGCUAGAUUGCCGCCUCCAAAUCCCUUUCGUGGAGGUAUUCCAAUCUGCUUUCCUCAAUUUGGUAGUGGUAAUCUUGAACGACAUGGAUUUGCAAGGAAUAGACAUUGGACCAUCGAUAAAGAUCCCCCUCCAUUUCCAACAAAUACUUCCAACAAGGCCUUCAUUGACUUAAUACUUCAACAUGCUAAAGAAGAAGUAAAGAGCUGGCCUCACAGAUAUGAGUUUCGUUUAAGGAUAUCUCUAGGGCCUGGAGGAGAUUUGAUGUUGACCUCACGCAUUCGAAAUACAAAUACUGAUGGAAAGUCAUUCACCUUUACAUUUGCCUACCACACCCAUCUCUACGUUACCGAUAUCAGUGAAGUGCGUGUGGAAGGACUUGAAACACUGGACUAUCUGGAUAAUUUAAAGGAUCGAGAGCGAUUCACUGAACAAGGGGAUGCAAUAACAUUUGAAUCAGAAGUAGAUAAAAUCUAUCUCAGCACACCUACUAAAAUAGCUAUAGUGGACCACGAAAGGAAAAGGACAUUUGUAUUGCGUAAAGAUGGACUUCCUGAUGCAGUGGUCUGGAAUCCCUGGGAUAAGAAAGCAAAGGCAAUGCCUGACUUUGGCGAUGACGACUACAAGCAUAUGCUAUGUGUGGAGGCUGCUUGUAUAGAAAAUCCUAUUACUUUGAAACCUGGUGAAGAGUGGAAAGGAAGGCAAGAGCUGUCUAUUGUUCACUCCAGUUACUGCAGUGGACAACUUGAUCCACAAAGAGCACUAAGUGUUUAGAAGAUUGGUACAUUCUGGUGGAUCUCUUUUACAGGUGCCUUGUCUGGCAUUUGUAUUUGGUGCUGUCAGAUGAUUCUUGCCGGAAUUUUUGGAGGCGAGGUUCAAGAGUAAAUUAAGAGAAGAUGCAAUCUUUUUUCAGGUUGAAGAUACAAUUAUCAGGUACUUUUUUUUUUUAGGGAUUAUACAGGGAUAUUGUACAACGCUGGAGUUAAGGCAAGCUACAAGAUGAAAGAAGAGCAAUUACAUAUGGUCUAAGACCUAAUUUCUGUUUGUCUUUUCCCUUGUGAAAUUCUAUUUUGCGAAAAAAUCAACAUAAGAUAAAAUUUUAUAUUGGUGUUAUUUUUAAUUUGAAAUACUGAUGAUAAUUAAUUUCUGGAGACA